CUCAUGACUCUCGGCAACGGAUAUCUUGGCUCUCGCAUCGAUGAAGAACGUAGCAAAAUGCGAUACCUGGUGUGAAUUGCAGAAUCCCGUGAACCAUCGAGUUUUUGAACGCAAGUUGCGCCCGAGGCCUUCUGGUCGAGGGCACGUCUGCCUGGGCGUCACGC
rnacentral:rRNA from 1 species